UAGAAUGAAUAAAGAGAGCUGAAACAGGGGGCUUCCCUUCAACAUCCCCCUCAAGUUGGAGGGGAGGGACGACACUCCCAACUUGCACAAAAUAUUUCAAUGAGAAGCCCCUGAGAGAGGUUCAGUGAAUAGAUCGGCAAGUUGAAUGUGUGAAGGGACAAAAGACAAGGAGAUCAGCCCGCAGAGAUACUACUAGCGCAAAAAGCGGCAAUCAAGCUCCACAUGCUUGGUUCGCUCAUGGAAAAUAAGGUUUCGAGCAAUAUGAAGUGCGGCUUGGUUGUCGUAAUGAAUGGGAACCGAUAGAAAUGGUGAGCUUGACAGGUCCUCCAAGAGACAAACAAGCUAAGUUAGUUCAGUCGUGACCUUACACAUAGAUCUGUACUCCGCUUUGGUGGAGGAAAGGGAUAUUAAAGGCUACUUCUUAGGCUUCCAAGAAAUAAGAGAACCCCCAAGUGUGAUGAAAAAAACACUCACAGAUCUGUGUGUGUCGGAGCAUGCUUCCCAAUCCGCAUAGCAAAAUGCCAGUAAGGAUAGAGAAGGAUCAACAUUGAGAAGAAUCCCUUGCCCUGGAUCCAAAUGGAGGUACCUCAAUACUCGGAGAGCUGCCGAAUAGUGAGAAAGACAGAGUCUUUACCGAAAUUAACUGAGUUUGAGGAUCGAAAAUGCCAAGUCUGGACGUGUAUGAGUCAGGUGAUAUAUUUUUGCACCAUUUGAUUUCUCAAAUCUAUGUUUUAAGCUCUCCCAAAGCUCCUUUGCAGUUUUGGAGUAGAUGACACUGUCACCAAUUUCUUUUGAAAGGGAGUUCAACAACCAAGAUAUGACCAUGUCGUUGCAACAACAUCUUUUCUCAAACUCAGGAGCAGUCAGAUCUGGAGGUUUGCAAGCUCCAUUGAUGAAGCCAAGCUGCUUCUUCGCAGACAAAGCUAUCAAAACUGAUCUCCUUCAUCCUGGAAAACCCUUUCCAUCGAAGAUGGAAUUUACCAAGUUAAUUCCAUGAGAACCAGAAGCAUUGAGGUGGUAGGGAUGAUUAGUAUUGACAUUGUUGGUGUUCACAGAACUUUCUGUGAUGCGAAUUUCAGUGGUAUUGGAUUGUUCACCCAUAGUUUUGUUACUUGAAUUAUAGAUCUAGAAAGAUGAUUGAAUUUGGAUCGAGCUACUGCUCUGAUACUAUGUAAGAAUUGAUGAACAAUAUUGGAAAUUUUUUGAAUAUGUCAAAAGAGAGAAAACUACAAUUGAUUUAUCCCAAGGACUGAUGCACCUAUUUAUAAUACAUACAAGUAUGGGUGUCUUGAA